rnacentral:misc_RNA from 1 species
CAGAGUUGCAAAACUCCCUAAACCAUUGUGAACCUACCGCUAAACAGUUGCUUCGGCGGGUGGCUGGCUCCCCCUAGGGGGGCCCGCCGCUGAGCCCGCCGGAGGUUUAACUAAACUCUUGUUUACUUACUGGCCUCUCUGAGUAUACUUACUUUUAAAAUAAGUCA